UUCCGGUUGAUCCUGCCGGAGGCCAUUGCUAUCGGAGUCCGAUUUAGCCAUGCUAGUCGUGCGAGUUUAGACUCGCGGCACCGAGCUCAGUAACACGUGGCCAAACUACCCUGUAGAGACGUAUAACCUCGGGAAACUGAGGCUAAUCCGUCAUACCGGUUGAAUGGUUGAACCCCAUCAACCUCUAAACGCCCCGGCGCUACAGGAUGUGGCUGCGGCCGAUUAGGUUGACGGUGGGGUAACGGCCCACCGUGCCAAUAAUUGGAACAGGUUGUGAGAGCAAGAACCUGGAGACGGCAUCUGGGACAAGAUGCCGGGCCCUACGGGGCGCAGCAGGCGCGAAACCUUUACACUGCACGCACGUGCGAUAAGGGGACUCCGAGUGCGAGGGCAUAUCGUCCUCGCUUUCGUGUACCGUAGGGUGGUACACCAACAAGGGCUGGGCAAGACCGGUGCCAGCCGCCGCGGUAAUACCGGCAGCCCGAGUGAUGACCGAUCUUAUUGGGCCUAAAGCGUCCGUAGCUGGCUGCGCAAGUCCGUCGGGAAAUCCACUCGCCCAACGAGUGGGCGUCCGACGGAAACUGCACAGCUUGGGACCGGAAGGCUCGAAGGGUACGUGCGGGGUAGGAGUGAAAUCCCAUAAUCCCGCACGGACCACCGAUGGCGAAAGCACUUCGAGAAAACGGAUCCAACAGUGAGGGACGAAAGCCAGGGUCUCCAACCGGAUUAGAUACCCGGGUAGUCUUGGCCGUAAACAAUGUUCGCUAGGUAUGACACAGA
rnacentral:rRNA from 1 species